UACGUAGGGGCAAGCGUUGUCCGGAUUUAUUGGGCGUAAAGAGCGUGUAGGCGGCUUGGUAGGUCUUGCGUCAAAACCUGAGGCUCAACCUCAGUUCGCGUGGGAAACCAUCUAGCUAGAGUCCGGAAGAGGAGAACGGAAUUCCCAGUGUAGCGGUGAAAUGCGCAGAUAUUGGGAAGAACACCAGUGGCGAAGGCGGUUCUCUGGGACGGUACUGACGCUGAGACGCGAAAGCGUGGGGAGCGAACGAGG
rnacentral:rRNA from 1 species